AUCGAGAUGGCGCAGCGGACGCGUGCGGGGCUCAUAACCCCGAGGUCCCAGGACCUCGGGAUCGAAACCUGGUCUCGAUA